rnacentral:rRNA from 1 species
CAAUAGCGUAUAUUAAAGUUGUUGCAGUUAGAACGCUCGUAGUCGGAUUUCGGGGCGGGCCGACCGGUCUGCCGAUGGGUAUGCACUGGUCGGCGCGUCCUUCCUUCCGGAGACCGUCCCUACUCUUAACUGAGCGGGGGCGGGUGACGGGACUUUUACUUUGAAAAAAUCAGAGUGUUUCAAGCAGGCAGCUCGCUCUUGCAUGGAUUAGCAUGGGAUAAUGAAAUAGGACUUUGGUGCUAUUUUGUUGGUUUCGAACACCGAAGUAAUGAUGAGAAGGGACAGUCAGGGGCACUCGUAUUCCGCCGAGAGAGGUGAAAUUCUCAGACCAGCGGAAGACGAACCACUGCGAAAGCAUUUGCCAGGGAUGUUUUCACUGA